rnacentral:rRNA from 1 species
AACGAACGCUGGCGGCAUGCCUAACACAUGCAAGUCGAACGAGAUCUUCGGGUCUAGUGGCGCACGGGUGCGUAACGCGUGGGAAUCUGCCCUUUGGUUCGGAAUAACAGUUGGAAACGACUGCUAAUACCGGAUGAUGACGAAAGUCCAAAGAUUUAUCGCCAGAGGAUGAGCCCGCGUAGGAUUAGCUAGUUGGUGUGGUAAAGGCGCACCAAGGCGACGAUCCUUAGCGGGUCUGAGAGGAUGAUCAGCCACACUGGGACUGGGACACGGCCCAGACUCCUACGGGAGGCAGCAGUGGGGAAUAUUGGACAAUGGGCGCAAGCCUGAUCCAGCCAUGCCGCGUGAGUGAUGAGGGCCCUAGGGUUGUAAAGCUCUUUCACCGGUGAAGAUAAUGACGGUAACCGGAGAAGAAGCCCCGGCUAACUUCGUGCCAGCCGCCGCUGUAA